rnacentral:rRNA from 1 species
AUCAUGCCCCUUAUGUUCUGGGCUACACACGUGCUACAAUGGCCGGUACAGACGGACGCAAAGCCGCGAGGUGGAGCAAAUCCUAAAAAGCCGGUCUCAGUUCGGAUUGCAGGCUGCAAUUCGCCUGCAUGAAGUCGGAAUCGCUAGUAAUCGCAGGUCAGCAUACUGCGGUGAAUACGUUCCCGGGCCUU